AUCACACAGGCGAAAAGAUGAGUAACCAGUCGAAGGUCCGCAGCGAGUUGUCAUUUGGUGAAAGACAAUGAUCGGGCACUGGCGAAGAUGGUCUUUUGAAGCAUUCAGUUGCGAACACAUCUUGCAAGCAACUGACGGGCACUCCCGUUACUGAGUCAGGGUAUAACGCAAACUUGCGAAGUACUUAGAGAGAAUCGAUUUCGAUCGGUUAAUCAAGGUGGUAACGCGGAAAAUCCGUCCUUGUC
rnacentral:ncRNA from 3 species